GCAGAUGGUUCUCCUUCUGACGUAUUGUCAGAAGAUCAAUGGUAGCCUAUGUCACAGUGCCUACUUCCUCUCAUCACCUAGGCGUUUUAUCAUCCCACAUCAUAACCUUGUCUCCUGGUUCAGGUGGAAGACCCUGAGGACAAACCAUGGGAAAGGAAGCUACCCGCUCAAGCAUAAGGACUGCCCUGAGCCGGCAAGACAUCACCCACCAUUGACUCCAAGAGAGUGGUCCAUUUGACCUGCACUACCCACCCAUCUUUGCCCCACAUUUUCCUUAUGUAAAUCUGGAGGUACUUUCUGCACUCUGGAGAGUCUUUGACAGCCCAUGCUGUCUUCCCAGUGUGGGCAUCGCUGAAAUAAAUUCCUUCCUUGUUUCC